rnacentral:rRNA from 1 species
GAUGAACGCUGGCGGCGUGCCUAAUACAUGCAAGUCGAGCGAACGGACGAGAAGCUUGCUUCUCUGAUGUUAGCGGCGGACGGGUGAGUAACACGUGGAUAACCUACCUAUAAGACUGGGAUAACUUCGGGAAACCGUAGCUAAUACCGGAUAAUAUUUUGAACCGCAUGGUUCAAAAGUGAAAGACGGUCUUGCUGUCACUUAUAGAUGGAUCCGCGCUGCAUUAGCUAGUUGGUAAGGUAACGGCUUACCAAGGCAACGAUGCAUAGCCGACCUGAGAGGGUGAUCGGCCGACCUGGAACUGAGCCACGGACCAGACUCCGACGGGAGGCAGCAGUAGGGAAUCUUCCGCAAUAGGCGAAAGCCUGACGGAGCAACGCCGCGUGAGUGAUGAAGGUCUUCGGAUCGUAAAACUCUGUUAUUAGGGAAGAACAUAUAUGUAAGUAACUGUGCACAUCUUGGCGGUACCUAAUCAGAAAGCCACGGCUAACUACGUG